UACGAAGGGAGCUAGCGUUGUUCGGAAUUACUGGGCGUAAAGGGCGCGUAGGCGGUUUGGCAAGUUGGAUGUGAAAGCCCUGGGCUCAACCCGGGAAUUGCAUUCAAGACUGCCUUGCUUGAAUUCGGUAGAGGUUGGUGGAAUUUCCAGUGUAGAGGUGAAAUUCGUAGAGAUUGGAAAGAACACCCGUGGCGAAGGCGGCCAACUGGACCGACAUUGACGCUGAGGCGCGAAAGCGUGGGGAGCAAACAGG
rnacentral:rRNA from 1 species